AUUGAACUCUGGCGGCAUGCCUAACACAUGCAAGUCGAACGAGUGGCGGACGGGUUAGUAAUGUCUGGGCAACUGCCUGAUGGAGGGGGAUAACUACUGGAAACGGUCGCUAAUACCGCAUACCAUCAGAUGUACCCAUAUGGGAUUAGCUAGUUGGUGGGGUAACGGAUCACCAAGGCGACGAUCCCUAGCUGGUCUGAGAGGAUGACCAGCCACACUGGAACUGAGACACGGUCCAGACUCCUACGGGAGGCAGCAGUGGGGAAUAUUGCACAAUGGGCGCAAGCCUGAUGCAGCCAUGCCGCGUGUAUGAAGAAGGCCUUCGGGUUGUAAAGUACUUUCAGCGGGGAGGCGUUACCCGCAGAAGAAGCACCGGCUAACUCCGUGCCAGCAGCCGCGGUAAUAC
rnacentral:rRNA from 1 species